GGCCAAGUGGUACCUUCUCUUAUUGAGUCAGGCUAUAGUGGUUGCUUUGUGUGUGAUGAGACUAUCUUUGUUAUGUGACUAAAGAUACUCCUAUUUCAAUUGUUAAAGGUAGGGGUUCUACUAGAGGUGUGAGGGGCAGAGGUAGUGGAGCCUAUGGUGGUAGUCGUGGGGCUACUCAGCUAGUUGAUGGUCAUUGACAAUGCUAUGCUAUCUAGCCAAACUUGAGGUAGAGGCUUUAGAUAUUGUGAUCACAAGUAUCAUCUAGUUUGUUUUAGAUUUGCAUCUGUGUUAUUUGAUCCCUAGUCG
rnacentral:lncRNA from 1 species